UGCCCACUGAUUUAAAUAUUAAAGGGCUGCAGUAUUUUGACUGUACAAAGGUAGCAUAAUCAUUAGUCAUUUAAUUGAUGACUUGUAUGAAAGAUUGGAUGAGAUAUAAACUGUCUUUUUUGUAAAUUUUAAAAUUUAAUUUUUAAGUUAAAAAGCUUAAAUAAUUUAAAAAGACGAGAAGACCCUAUAGAGUUUUAUUUUUGGUUUAUAUUGAAAUUUUUAUAAGUUUAUUAGUUUAAUUUAGAUUAAUAAUUUUGUUGGGGUGAUAGAAAAAUUUGAUUAACUUUUUUUUUAUAAUAUACAUAGAUAAAUGGUUAAAUGAUCCAAUAUUAUUGAUUAUAAGAAAAAAUUACCUUAGGGAUAACAGCGUAAUUUUAUUUUUUAGUUCAAAUAAGAAAUAAAGUUUGCGACCUCGAUGUUGGAUUAAGAUAAAAUUUAAAUGCAGAAGUUUAAAAUUUUGA
rnacentral:rRNA from 1 species